rnacentral:tRNA from 1 species
GGAUCUUUAGCUCAGUUGGCUAGAGCGCACGAUUCACAUUCGUGAGGUCACAAGUUCGAGCCUUGUAAGAUCCACCA